rnacentral:rRNA from 1 species
GAUGAACGCUGGCGGCGUGCCUAAUACAUGCAAGUCGAGCGAACAGACGAGGAGCUUGCUCCUCUGACGUUAGCGGCGGACGGGUGAGUAACACGUGGAUAACCUACCUAUAAGACUGGGAUAACUUCGGGAAACCGGAGCUAAUACCGGAUAAUAUAUUGAACCGCAUGGUUCAAUAGUGAAAGACGGUUUUGCUGUCACUUAUAGAUGGAUCCGCGCCGCAUUAGCUAGUUGGUAAGGUAACGGCUUACCAAGGCAACGAUGCGUAGCCGACCUGAGAGGGUGAUCGGCCACACUGGAGCUGAGACACGGUCCAGACUCCUACGGGAGGCAGCAGUAGGGAAUCAUCCGCAAUGGGCGAAAGCCUGACGGAGCAACGCCGCGUGAGUGAUGAAGGUCUUCGGAUCGUAAAACUCUGUUAUUAGGGAAGAACAAAUGUGUAAGUAACUAUGCACGUCUUGACGGUACCUAAUCAGAAAGCCACGGCUAACUACGUG